CUUAAUUAACGUUUAAUGUUUUAUUAAAAAACUUUAUAUUUAAAAUUUUUAUUCUUUUUUUUGUUAAUCCUAUUAUUAUAAGAAGUCAAUAAUUUUCUUUACUAGUAAAAUCUUUGAGAGAGUUUUUUUAAAAAAUAAUAAAUUUGGUGCCAGCAGUUGCGGUUAUACUAAAAUUUAUAAAAACAUUGGUGGGAAUAAAUAAUUUGUGAAUUUAAUAAUAUAUAACUGUUAUAGGUGAAAUUUUUUUUAUUUAUAGAUUCUUAGUAUUUAAUAGAAAUAAGAUUAUGAACUAGGAUUAGAUACCCUAUUACGCUUAAUUUUUUUUACCUUAAAAGAUUAAAGAUAAAAUUUGAAAAUUUGGCGGCUUUUUUAUUUAGAGGAACUUGUCUAUUAAAUUGAUAACCCUCAAUAUUUUGGAUUUUAAGUUGUUUUUGUAUACCAUCAUUUUAAUAAUUUAAGAAUAAUAAAUUAUUUAAAAUUUUUAAAGAAAGAUAGAUCAAGGUGCAGAUAUAUUUAAAAUUAGAUUAGUUACAAUAAUUAUUCAAACAGUAAUGGAUUAAUUUCUAGUGAAGGGUGGAUUUAAAUGUAAUAUAUAUAUAUAUAUGAAAAUUAAAAAUUUAGUGUACAAAUUGCCCGUCACUCUCUCUGAGAUAAGUCGAAACAAAGUAGAGGUACCUGAAGGUGUCUCU
rnacentral:rRNA from 1 species